AUGCAAGUCGAGCGGUAGCACAGAGAGCUUGCUCUCGGGUGACGAGCGGCGGACGGGUGAGUAAUGUCUGGGAAACUGCCUGAUGGAGGGGGAUAACUACUGGAAACGGUAGCUAAUACCGCAUAACGUCGCAAGACCAAAGUGGGGGACCUUCGGGCCUCAUGCCAUCAGAUGUGCCCAGAUGGGAUUAGCUGGUAGGUGGGGUAACGGCUCACCUAGGCGACGAUCCCUAGCUGGUCUGAGAGGAUGACCAGCCACACUGGAACUGAGACACGGUCCAGACUCCUACGGGAGGCAGCAGUGGGGAAUAUUGCACAAUGGGCGCAAGCCUGAUGCAGCCAUGCCGCGUGUGUGAAGAAGGCCUUCGGGUUGUAAAGCACUUUCAGCGGGGAGGAAGGCGGUGAGGUUAAUAACCUCAUCGAUUGACGUUACCCGCAGAAGAAGCACCGGCUAACUCCGUGCCAGCAGCCGCGGUAAUACGGAGGGUGCAAGCGUUAAUCGGAAUUACUGGGCGUAAAGCGCACGCAGGCGGUCUGUCAAGUCGGAUGUGAAAUCCCCGGGCUCAACCUGGGAACUGCAUUCGAAACUGGCAGGCUAGAGUCUUGUAGAGGGGGGUAGAAUUCCAGGUGUAGCGGUGAAAUGCGUAGAGAUCUGGAGGAAUACCGGUGGCGAAGGCGGCCCCCUGGACAAAGACUGACGCUCAGGUGCGAAAGCGUGGGGAGCAAACAGGAUUAGAUACCCUGGUAGUCCACGCUGUAAACGAUGUCGAUUUGGAGGUUGUGCCCUUGAGGCGUGGCUUCCGGAGCUAACGCGUUAAAUCGACCGCCUGGGGAGUACGGCCGCAAGGUUAAAACUCAAAUGAAUUGACGGGGGCCCGCACAAGCGGUGGAGCAUGUGGUUUAAUUCGAUGCAACGCGAAGAACCUUACCUGGUCUUGACAUCCACAGAACUUUCCAGAGAUGGAUUGGUGCCUUCGGGAACUGUGAGACAGGUGCUGCAUGGCUGUCGUCAGCUCGUGUUGUGAAAUGUUGGGUUAAGUCCCGCAACGAGCGCAACCCUUAUCCUUUGUUGCCAGCGGUUAGGCCGGGAACUCAAAGGAGACUGCCAGUGAUAAACUGGAGGAAGGUGGGGAUGACGUCAAGUCAUCAUGGCCCUUACGACCAGGGCUACACACGUGCUACAAUGGCAUAUACAAAGAGAAGCGACCUCGCGAGAGCAAGCGGACCUCAUAAAGUAUGUCGUAGUCCGGAUUGGAGUCUGCAACUCGACUCCAUGAAGUCGGAAUCGCUAGUAAUCGUAGAUCAGAAUGCUACGGUGAAUACGUUCCCGGGCCUUGUACACACCGCCCGUCACACCAUGGGAGUGGGUUGCAAAAGAAGUAGGUAGCUUAACCUUCGGGAGGGCGCUACCACCUU
rnacentral:rRNA from 1 species